rnacentral:lncRNA from 1 species
UGGGCGUGGGACUAGUUGGCGCAUGAGAGGAGUGAGAGGAGGGAGAGUCCAAACUACGUGAGACUCCUCUUUAGGUGACUGAUUUAAAUCAAAUAAAAUUUUAACCAAUUUUAAUCAUAUUAGAAAUUGAUUAGAUCCAAAUAGAUUAAAAUGUUAAUCUAAUUAGAUGCCCAAACUAUUUAGAUUAGAAUCUAAUCCAAUUAGGAAUU